rfam:Ornithorhynchus anatinus chromosome 1, whole genome shotgun sequence.
CUCCUCUCAGGGUUGCACCUGGAGAGUUUCUGGUACUCUACCAGGCUCAACUAUGGGAGGGAGAGCCAAGCAGAGGCAUAUCCAUUCCAUUCCUAGCUUGGCCAGUGGCUACGAGUGAAAGACAAUCGGCUACAAGU